UACGGGGGGUGCUAACGUUAUCCGGAUUUACUGGGCGUAAAGAGCAUGUAGGUGGCCUAUUAAGUCAGCAAUUAAAGACCGACGCCUAACGUCGGGAGUGUUUCUGAUACUGGUAGGCUUGAGGAAAACAGGGGUACGCGGAACUUUCGGUGUAGGAGUGAAAUCCGUAGAUAUCGAAAGGAACACCAAUGGCGAAGGCAGCGUACUGGGUUUUACCUGACACUGAGAUGCGAAAGCGUGGGGAGCAAAC
rnacentral:rRNA from 1 species